rnacentral:lncRNA from 1 species
UUUAUUUAUUUUUUUCGUUUUCUUUUUUUUUUCUUUUUUUUUCUUUUUUUUUUAUUUUUUUUUUAAAAUAAAGUUUCUUGGAUCUAAUUCUGAUUGACAUGAUGAAAUGCAAUAUGAAAUGCUAAAUGAAUGCAUGAAUGAGGAGGGCAAAUUUUGGGGUGUUACAGCUACCCCUAUUCAAUCAUCAGCUAACCCGAGUAGGAUGAAAGCGAAC